CUGGUUUGCUCAACACAUAUACUAAAAUUGGGAGGAUACAGACAAGAUAAGAAUGCCUCCUGUAUAUUGAGGACAUGAAAAUUAGUGAUGCAUUUCAUAUUUAA